UCUUAAAAUAGGUUUGGAGCAGCUUUUAAUUGAAUUUUUUAAAUAAUGAAUUUUUCAUUUAGCAUCAGUUGAAAAGAAAAAUGUGAGCUUUAUUAUAGAAAUAAUAAUACUGGGUAUGGAAGAUAAGCUUAUUUGCUUCUAUUUUAGCUCUAGUUAGAACAUUAGUGCUAGAAAACUUGAGCAUUUAAUUAAUUUCCUUACUUAUUUGUAGAGUAACAAAUGAUUAGAAUUCUGCAAGUAAUUCUAUUUGGUUUGACAGUAGAGAUCUACUGUGAAAGGGGCAAAGUUUAUGGGCUUGGGGUCGAAAGAAUUUCUCAAAGAAAUACAAAACAUACUUUGCCCUUGAUGUUGCAACACCAUGGAAAUAAGUGCCUGAACCUUAUUUCAAAGUUUACUUUUUACUAUUAAAAAAUUACCCAUUUCUUUCAUUUUCAUAAAAAAAUUUUGGUACCUUUUCCCUCAUCAUUAAGCACAGAGAAAGAAUCCUCAGUAUGCUAUUUUCACUGUUAACUUUAAUUCAUUAGUAACCAAAUCUUUGUUAAAGGUAGUGAUGGGAUUUCUAGCCUACUAAAUUAAUUAAAUAAAUAAAUUAAGCUAAAUAAGCUUCCCAAAUGCCAAACAAUCCAACAGAUAAAACUUACUUGAUAAGAUGUAUGACAUUGACUGUGCUGGUUUAUAUGUUUUCCGACUUUGGCAUCUGUGUUAGACUGGUAGAGUUUUACAACCUAGGGAGUAUGCAUUGCACUUAUAAAUUUUUUUCUUCAUUACUUUCUGAGGAUAUAAACAGCAUGUUUUUGGGGACAUUAACUCAAAUUGCUAAAAAGCCUAAUAUGACACUCUUCCAUACAGUCUAGAUUGACUAAAGGAAAAGUAGAAAUGGAGGUCAAAGUCUGUUACAAGUUGGGGCUGAAAAAUAUGCUUUAAAAGAUAGGCUAUUAAUUUAUUGAACAGCAAAUAGCCAUCUUAUUAAACUUUGUCAUUUUGGGGAAAUCAAUUGCUUUUUGCCUUUUUCUAUUUUUGAGCUGUUAAAACAUUUUGAUGCCUUUUGGGGGUAAAAGUAGUGUCUCUGUAAAAUUACUGGGUUUUUAAAAGUUGUAGGUUAAUCAGUUUUAUUUGUAAAUUUACUUAUGUGUAUGAAUGUUUAAAGGGCAUUUAAAUGAACUAUUCUGUGCAUUUAAGAACCUAUUGUAAAGCAAAAUGACUACUGCAUCUCAAUCUAUUUUCUCAUUUGUCCCAGUUUUUAAAAUAUACUUUCUCUAUUAUUACUGUUUGCUGAUAGUUUUAGAUCCCAAUAUAUAUUAAAAUUAGAGCCCUG
ensembl:lncRNA